ensembl:lncRNA novel transcript
AAAUGCUGAAUCUCACGAGAGAAGAAAACCAGCCACAUAAAGGAUUUGAAAGCUCAACUUGCUUUCCCACUCUGUUAUCCCUGGAGUUGGCUUGGAUUCACCCUGAAGCCUUCCCCCUCCCGGGGAAAGUUGCUUCACGUUGCAGCUCAGCAGGUUUGUCCAGCUACAUAGGCUCCAGAAAACAAGAAGCAAGACUGGAAAGCUGGGGAUGAUUGUACGCCCUCGCCUGAAUCUUACGUGGUUCCUCCUUCUUCCACCUGGCCAGUGCAGAGCCGUGGGUGCCACGUGGCCACUUCUGGAUUGGGUUCCCCUUGGCCUGCCACCCUGUCCUUCUGCUUUCCCACUUUGCCAGCCAGAGUCAAUUUGAGGACGCCAAGUUCUCCUCUCCAUACAGAGCUCCUGGUCUCCUUGUAACUUGUAACUCCUGGGCACAGUUACAAGUGCUGAAUUCUUGCGAGGAUGAACUCAAGAUACAAAAUAUGCUUGGCAACUCACCCCUGAGUGGCCACAGGCACACGCAGGAGUCGAACCCACCCACCUCUGCUGACAGUCAUGGGUCAAGCUCAAAGUCCUGGCUGCUUCUCUGCUCAAGAAAUUGCCACAGCCUCCGUAACCUUCAGCAGCCACCAUCCUGAUCAGUUAGCAGCCAUCAUCAAGACAAGACCCUUCCCCAGCAUAAACAUUACGGCUUGCUGAAGACUUAGAUCAUAGUUAGCAUUUUUAAGCAAUCAAGUGUUUUAAAAUUAAGUGGUCUGGAACUGAACUCACAAUAUAUCUGAGGUAUGCCUGUAUUUCAGGAAGUCUAACAAAAACCACGCAUCAUUUGUCUGUGGGAAGAGGGUAUAGUAUAAUUGAAAUGUCAAGGUUUUUCAAUAGUUUGCUUUUAAUGGAAUAAUAGUUGCUAGGUGUGGUAACACUGGUUAUCUCAUGAAAAAAGGAAUUAACAUAUACAAUUUGUUUCAGAUAAAAGAUUUACAAAGUAUAGGGAACAUACGUGAAAUAAUAAAAGUGUCUUUGUAUUGUGUUCCAACCA